rnacentral:rRNA from 1 species
UACGUAGGGGGCGAGCGUUGUCCGGAAUUAUUGGGCGUAAAGAGCUCGUAGGCGGCUUAGUAAGUCGGCGGUGAAAUACCGAGGCUCAACCUCGGCACUGCCGUCGAUACUGCUAUGGCUAGAGUCUGGUAGAGGAGAACGGAAUUCCCGGUGUAGCGGUGGAAUGCGCAGACUAUCGGGAGGAACACCCGUAGCGAAGGCGGUUCUCUGGGCCAGUACUGACGCUGAGGAGCGAAAGCGUGGGAGCAACAGGAUAGAAACCUAGACGUC